rnacentral:lncRNA from 1 species
GUGAGCAGUGCUGACCCUACCCUGCGUCACAGCACAGUGGCCUCAUCAGAACCAAGACGACCAACCUUCUCCAGAGAAUGGACUUCUGUUGGGAGACUCUCCUCUUUCUACAAACAAAAUGGCCAGCUUGUUGAGAAUUUUUAGUACCAUUUGCAGAGCUCUCCAUAAUGUGAUACAGACUCUGGCCUGAAGAAAGCACAAAAUAAACAUGAACAAAUCAUAACUGUGCUUCAGUAGGAUCACCGAGAGCCAAGAUACAGAUUUGUGAGAUAACUACAAGUUUUGGUAUCAGGAUGAUGCUGGACUCAUAAAAUGAAUUAGGGAGGAGUCCCUCCUUUUCAAUUGUUUUUCCAUCUAUCCAUCUGACAAAGGUCUAAUAUCCAGAAUCUACAAGGAACUCAAACAAAUUUACAAGAAAAAAAACCAUUAAAAAGUGGUCAAAAAUAUGAACAGACACUUCUCAAAAUAAGACAUUUAUACAACCACCAAACAUAUGAAGGAAAAGCUCAACAUCAUUGAUCAUUAGAGAAAUGCAAAUCAAAACCACAAUGAGAUACAUCACAUCAGUCAGAAUGGCCCUUAUUAAAAAGUCAAGAAACAUCAGAUGCUGGCAAGAUUGUGCAGAAAUAGGAAUGCUUUUACACUGUUGGUUGGAAUGUAAAUCACUUCAAUCAUUGUGGAAGAUG